rnacentral:rRNA from 1 species
GAUGAACGCUGGCGGCGUGCUUAACACAUGCAAGUCGAACGGAAAGGCUCCUGCUUGCAGGGGUACUCGAGUGGCGAACGGGUGAGUAACACGUGGGUGAUCUGCCCUGCACUUCGGGAUAAGCCUGGGAAACUGGGUCUAAUACCGGAUAGGACGAUGGUUCGGAUGCCAUUGUGGAAAGUUUUUCGGUGUGGGAUGAGCUCGCGGCCUAUCAGCUUGUUGGUGGGGUAAUGGCCUACCAAGGCGUCGACGGGUAGCCGGCCUGAGAGGGUGUACGGCCACAUUGGGACUGAGAUACGGCCCAGACUCCUACGGGAGGCAGCAGUGGGGAAUAUUGCACAAUGGGCGCAAGCCUGAUGCAGCGACGCCGCGUGGGGGAUGACGGCCUUCGGGUUGUAAACUCCUUUCGCUAGGGACGAAGCGCAAGUGACGGUACCUGGAGAAGAAGCACCGGCUAACUACGUG